rnacentral:rRNA from 1 species
ACCCGCACAAGCAGCGGAGCGUGUGGUUUAAUUCGAUGCUACACGAAGACCUUACCUGGGCUUGACAUGUUCGUGGUAGUGAAGCGAAAGCGGAUCGACCCUUCGGGGAGCGUUCACAGGUGCUGCAUGGCUGUCGUCAGCUCGUGCCGUGAGGUGUUCGGUUAAGUCCGGUAACGAGCGCAACCCUUGCUGUUAGUUACAAGUGUCUAACGGGACUGCCGGUUUAAUACCGGAGGAAGGUGGGGAUGACGUCAAGUCAGCAUGGCCUCUAUGUCCAGGGCUACACACACGCUACAAUGGCCGGUACAGUGGGUUGCCAAACCGCGAGGUGGAGCUAAUCCUCAAAGCCGGUCUCAGUUCGGAUUGUAGGCUGCAACUCGCCUGCAUGAAGUCGGAAUCGCUAGUAAUCGCGGAUCAGCACGCCGCGGUGAAUACGUUCCCGGGCCUU